GCAGUCGAACGAUGAAGCACCAGCUUGCUGGUGUGGAUUAGUGGCGAACGGGUGAGUAACACGUGAGUAACCUGCCCCUCACUCUGGGAUAAGCCUGGGAAACUGGGUCUAAUACUGGAUACGACCGAUCUCCGCAUGGAGUGUUGGUGGAAAGUUUUUGUGGUGGGGGAUGGACUCGCGGCCUAUCAGCUUGUUGGUGGGGUAAUGGCCUACCAAGGCGACGACGGGUAGCCGGCCUGAGAGGGCGACCGGCCACACUGGGACUGAGACACGGCCCAGACUCCUACGGGAGGCAGCAGUGGGGAAUAUUGCACAAUGGGCGAAAGCCUGAUGCAGCGACGCCGCGUGAGGGAUGACGGCCUUCGGGUUGUAAACCUCUUUCACCAGGGACGAAGCUAACGUGACGGUACCUGGAGAAGAAGCACCGGCUAACUACGUGCCAGCAGCCGCGGUAAUACGUAGGGUGCGAGCGUUGUCCGGAAUUAUUGGGCGUAAAGAGCUUGUAGGCGGUUUGUCGCGUCUGCUGUGAAAGACCGGGGCUUAACUCCNGUUCUGCAGUGGGUACGGGCAGACUAGAGUGUGGUAGGGGAGACUGGAAUUCCUGGUGUAGCGGUGAAAUGCGCAGAUAUCAGGAGGAACACCGAUGGCGAANNGAGGUCUCUGGGCCAUUACUGACGCUGAGAAGCGAAAGCAUGGGGAGCGAACAGGAUUAGAUACCCUGGUAGUCCAUGCCGUAAACGUUGGGCGCUAGGUGUGGGACUCAUUCCAC
rnacentral:rRNA from 1 species